rnacentral:tRNA from 1 species
GGCGCUGUGGCUUAGUCGGUGGAGCACCUGUCUUGUAAGCAGGAGAUCCUGGGUUCAAUUCCCAGCGGUGCCU